rnacentral:rRNA from 1 species
AUGAGAGCGGCGCACGGGUGCGUAACGCGUAUGCAACCUGCCUUGUACAGGGGGAUAGCCCAUGGAAACGUGGAUUAAUACCCCAUAGUAUUGUUGAAUCGCAUGGUUUAACAAUUAAAACUACGGUGGUACAAGAUGGGCAUGCGUAGGAUUAGCUAGUAGGUGAGGUAAUGGCUCACCUAGGCGACGAUCCUUAGGGGUUCUGAGAGGAUUACCCCCCACACUGGUACUGAGACACGGACCAGACUCCUACGGGAGGCAGCAGUGAGGAAUAUUGGUCAAUGGGCGAGAGCCUGAACCAGCCAUCCCGCGUGCAGGAUGACGGCCCUACGGGUUGUAAACUGCUUUUCUACUCCAAGAAACCUGGUUACGUGUAACCAGUUGCCGGUAGAGUAGGAAUAAGCAUCGGCUAACUCCGUGCCAGCAGCCGCGGUAAUACGAAGGGGGCUAGCGUUGUUCGGAUUUACUGGGCGUAAAGCGCACGUAGG